rnacentral:sRNA from 2 species
CCAGGCCAAACGCCGAGUCCUGCCCCUGGUCUGACGUCCCCUCCGACACGCCGGGGCAGGAGCGGGGGACCCAACGUCCACCGGGCAACGCCGACAUUCGGCCGCGCCCUCGGGGUGAAGCGGCCGCAAGGCGGCCGGGCAGCGUGAACCCUGCCCGAACCCGACAGCUGACCUCGCAGGCGUCAGGGAAGGACGC